UCUAUGCAUACACAAAACAGCCAAUUUAGUUCGCGAAAGUCUAUUGUUUUGCACUUUAUUGGUACGUAUGAACUUUGUUGGCAUCCCUAUAUCAAAACUAGAAUACCUGCUAAGUGGUUAAGGAUAUUAUUUAUGGCAUUUUUGAUAAUAGCUUACAUGAUUCUUUGUCGAGAAAUUGUUUCAUGAUCAUAUUGAGUUAAUAUAUUGCAGGAAAUGUGAAUCCUAAGUCUUUAGGAUUUUCAUGUUGAUUAUAUGAUUAGUUGAUCUUUGAUUGAAAGGAAAGAAUCCUAUAUUGAUUAGGUUUUAUGAUUUUUGGAUUAUCAUAUGGUAUUAGUGCAUGGUAAUGAGAUCUUGAUUUAUGUUAUUUGUAAUUGAAUAGGGUUUAUAGAGAAGUUGUAAGACUUUAUGCAAAUUCAUUUAGUUGAGAUUGUUUUCUGAGUUUAUACUCCGCUGUUCUUUUUCCUUUAUUUUGAGGUUUUUACACAACAUCAAAAUUCAGAUAUUCCUUAUUAACUUUCUUUUAGUUCGUUGAGGAUCGAAACAUUUCACAUUUCAGUACCUUUACACUUGUAGUUGCUACAGUAACUUUCUUAUAGUGAUAAACUAGUUGCUCGUAGAUAUUAGUUUAGCGAUUGGCUAGAAUACCUAUCAUUCUUGGAAGCUAGUCUAUCACUACCGAAAGCAGUGUAUCGAUUCUUGUACUCAGGGAGCUAUGAUUUAAUAAUCACAGAUUUUGUAUACAGAAGAGAAAAGAUCAAUAAGAAGAACAGUGGGACUAGGUGGUUAGUAGUACCGUUAGGCGACAUAGAAACCUCUCGUGGGUGUCGAGGCCUGAGAUUUCUACUAGACCAGCUUCCUCUAAAGUCAAGAAUGGCUUCCUCUCGCUGCUGCUGCCUUCUCCUUGUUGUCCAUCACCACUACAUCCUCUGAAGCUAAGGUUUCUUCUGUUGGGGUACAAAGUUUUCAAUGGUACUGCAAAAUGGGAAGUCUGCGUUUUUGUUAGCUUCUGAUGCGCAUGAGAAUGGUUUGAGAGAAUCGGUGUGCUAUAAUGUGUUCUACAGGGUUUCAGUAAGAACAUGUCUUGGUGUUUCUGAGCUGAAAGUGUGUAGUGGCAGGAGCAAGAAGAAGAAAAGAGGGUAAUGAAGCUUAUCGGUUUUGUUUCAAAGUUUUCUCGUUUGUGGUGGAAAUGAUAGGGUUGUGGAUAUUGGAUUGGAUCAUACUGCUCAAUGGGCUAUGUAUAUUGGGCUUAGGCUGCAGGUUUAUUAUGAUAUGUACCUUUACGCGCCAGACUCAAGUUCUGGUCCUCUAACGAGGGCGGGGGUUCAAAUCCCACUUCUGACAGCUUUUUCUAUCUGAGAUCGAUGAACGUAACCUCUGGAUUUAAUUACAAGGUUCAUGUAUGAUAAACAUACUAUAUACAAGAGCAAUAUACAAUCAACAGUACUACAAGAUGCUCCAUAAUAUGUAACUCAUCUAAGUAAGGCAUUUUUAGGAGCAUUGCUUGUUGCUUUUCACUGUAAACCCUCCAAAUGAGCCAACAAAGAAGAGAGCUUUUGGUGGUUUAAGCAUCCCAGUGAAGCAAAGAACAUCGAAUUCUCCAAGGGUUGAGGUAUCUCAGAUAUUUGAGUUGUUCUGCAAGCUUGCUAACUAGUCUGGGAUUAAUCUUACAACAUGCAUGUUCACAGUUUAAAGGCACUACUUCCAGUUCCUGAGAGAAAUUGGAUCACGGAAAAAACAAACACAUUUGGUAAAAAGCCCAAGGGGAUUGCUUGCACUUACAAAAGAAAAUGUUACCUAGCUAGCUUCUUAUUUGGGACAUUUCCUAGAUUAGUUAUACCAAUUGUCCACCACAAGCUGAGAAAAGAGUAAUAAGAGAAAGCAAAUUGAAGUUAUACCAUUCUUGUAGCCAGUAUGAUUCUAAUCAAUCGUAACCUGGAUUUGAUAGUUGAUUUCUCAUAAAAGGUAGCAUAACAAAACUGCCAAGUUAAAUAUCAAAUGCACGUGAAUCAUGGUUAUAAUUUUAAUUAACCAAGACAUAGCUAAUUCUACAUUAACACUGGAAUAUGUGCAUAGUUUAGUUUGCUUUAGCUGAGGCUUGUCUGUGACCUUCAAGUCAUCCAUUUUGGAAUUUUGUAUUUCCUUUAACUUUGCAUAAUUUUUGGUUACUUUUAGUCUUUUACAGCUUAGAUGGGACACCAAGAUGUUAGGAGCUUCCUGAUCUUAUUUAAAGUCAGAGAAACUGGUUUCAAGUAUAAUGAAGACUUCACACUUAACUCCUAGCUAGCAGACUGAGAAGUAUCUGUUCAACUUCAACUGAACCAGCAGACAACGAAGCAGACUCUCUUACUCUUCUGGGCAGCUUGAUUGCUUCGUGAUUCGACUUCCCAGUCCUCCCAACCCAUCAGGUUCUGAUUCACUUAUCUUCAUUUUCUGAUGUGUUUCUUUUCUUUGAUUCAUCAACUGUCAAUUGGUAGUGGCUUUUCUUUGGUUGUCUGUACAAUUCAACUGUUGAACACAUUCUACAUUAUGUCUAACCAUGUCAAAUAAGCUAGCUGAUCCAUCUAGAAGACACAGUGUUGGUCAUCAUCUGCAUAUUCCUUGCUAUUUCUCUGCAAUUAAGUUGAUUGUUUUUAAUAUUGGGUAUUGCGAUAUAUCAAACUCUCUGUUUAGAAGAACCAAUGUUCACAUUGCAGAAGAUUUGUUUUCCUACUUGAAGUUGUCGAUGUUUACUAUGAUCUUUGAUUCUUGUUAUAUUUUUCGUUUGGGGGAAAACAGGUCUAUCUCAAUUAGUUUUGUUGUUAGAGUACUAUUAUAGUAACGAUGGGAAUCAUGGGAUUGGAAUCUUUGGAGAGGUUCAAUCAGUUUUGUUGCUUUUGUUUAAUCUUUAACAUACUAUGACCAGGCUUUCAUCCUUUGUAGUAUAAACCUCAACUAUAGGAUCAAACAGCACCUUUUAGAGAUCACACCCCUUUUAGGCAGGACGGAGCCAAGAUCCAAAACAACAUGGAUUAAACUUUUUUUGAUAAAAAUUUCAAAAUGUACGAAAAUAAAUAAAUUAAGGGCCAAUUACAUAUAAGUCCAUUUUGAGACAUUUUUUCCCACAUAAAUCCACCCCAACAUUUUUACCCACAUAAGUCCACCCAAGUCUAAAUAAGGUUUUGUAUUAAGUAUUGAAGUUCAACAUAAUUACAGACUGCCAUCCAACAAAAAAAAUUAGAUUUUCUCCCUUAUAUUUACAAGAAUGCCACUAGUAUAAAAAGUCAACAACCACUCAUUUUGGAACAGUCUCCGGCGGACCUCCGGCGAGGUUUCCGGCGGACCUCCAGAGAGGUUUCCGGCCGACCUCCGGCGAGAUUUCCGACCGACCUCCGGCGAGGUUUCUGUCCGACCUCCGACGAUGACAAAAAUUACUACUACCAGCUAUAAAAGCUACUACCACCAACUACAAAAGCUACUACCACCGCCUACAAAAGAUACUACUGUGAGGUUUCCGAUGAACACAAAAGCUACUACCACCGCCUACAAAAGCUACUACUGUGAGGUUUCCGACGAACACAAAAACUACUACCACCAGCUACAAAAGCUACUACUACCGCCUACAAAAGCUACUACUGUGAGGUUUUCGACGAACACAAAAACUACUACCACUAGCCACAAAAGCUACUACCACCAGCUACAAAAGCUACUAUCACCGCCUACAAAAGCUACUAUUGUGAGGUUUCCGACGAUCACAAAAAAUACUACAAUCAGCCACAAAAGCUACUACCACCGCCUACAAAAGCUACUACCGAGAUAAACAAAAGCUACCACCAACAUAAACAAAAGCUACUACCCCUAUAUACAAAAGCUACUGCCACAACAAAAGUUAUUACUGACAUAAACAAAAGCUACUACCCCUAUAUACAAAAACUACUACUGCCAGACAUAAAAGCUAUUGCCUCAUCAAUAUAAGCUACUACCGUUACCAACAAAAAAUACUACUCUAACUAACAAAAGCUACUACUUUCACUGACAAAAACUACUACAAGAUAUUUACUACUGUUUGAACUCUCACAAUCUUCACCUCCACUUGAUUUCCUGCAAUUCGAAUCAAAAUCACGAUCCGUCAACACAUAUGCAAAUCACACUCACAUAUCUCGCGUUCGGAUUUACAGAAUCGUAGAGAGAAACAAAAAUUAAAAGAAAGAACUGCAUUACCUCUGUGAGAUCUAAAGAAUUAGAAGCAGAUCGAGAUUGAUUUGACUCCGGCGAUCUUGACGUCGAGAGGUAGUAACUCCAGACGGCGAGGACGAUCAUUUGCGCACCACCACGUAAUCAAACAGUGUGUUCCUUCAACACCUUUUUCAGAGUUCUGACCUCCAUCCAAUNNNNNNNNNNNNNNNNNNNNUUUUUGACGAAAGAAAAAGCUGAGGGUAUUUUGGGCAUAGUCUAAAGGUAACAUGAUGGAUUUGGGCUGUAAAGUGGACUUAUAUGAGUAAAAAUAUUUAGGUGGACUUACACUGGAGAGAAUGUCUCGAUGUGGACUUUUAUGAAAUUUGCUAUUAAUAAUGUUUGUAUCUGAGUAUCUAGAGUAAUGCUAGGUGAAUCACCAUUUAGGGAACCACCUAGAGCCCACCUGACGUGACGGCUGAUGUGGCAUAUCCAUGCCAUCAAAACUUAAUUUCUUACUCUUUUAUAUUUAUGUUUUUCUUAAUUACUAUAAUUCCUUUUUCUUUUAGUUUUGUAAUUACUUAAUUCUGUUUUUAUCUCUAAACCCUAUUUUUUUAGUUUGUUUCAUAGCUUCUACUUCGACGUCUACAGACGUUUUCUUUUACUCUUCUCAUGUCACGUCGAUCUCCUCUCAAUUGAUCGGCUUUUUUUUUAUUUUUUAUCUUGUGAUAUAAUCUGUAAACGUCUUCAAGUUUUCUUUUGUACAUUCGCAUAUGCGAGGUCUUUCAUUCCAAAUUAAAUUCUGCAAUUUGUCAAACCUCGUAUUUCGUUUUCAAUUGAUCGGCUCCGAUCCUCUAUUUGAUUUAGGUUUCCUCACAAGCCUCCCCUUUGACUUUUUUUUUCUUUUUCAUGUAUUAAAUACGAAUAACAUGUUUGGAAUAGGGUUCAUGGAACGUGAAUUUGAAUUUUGGCUGGUUCUUGUGUUCUUAUUAGAUCUUGAAUUAUCUCUAGAACUCUUGUUAAUUUCUACUAUAGCUUAGAACAGGAGCUGCACAAAUGAAAGGGGGAUAUUUUUUUAUUUUUUUUGGAUAUGAGGAAGAUGGAGUUCAUGGGUUGGUUUCUUACGAGAAGAAGUCAUUUUGAUCACAGUCCUUUCUUCAGCCUUCGUUAUUAUGGCAGGCCACCACAGCAAGCAGCUUUAUUCUCUAAACCCUAUUUAAAUCAGCUAGGAAUCUUUUGCUAUUAUCUAAUGGAUGUUACCAUGAGUUUUUGGCUUUUGGAUGAAGUUUUGCAUGAUGUUGUAACCAUCAAAGUAGGAGUAAUAUGCCUCAGAGCUCUGACGCUCAUCUGGAAGUUCUGCUGCUAAUGAGAAAAAGUUCUAUUGAUAUUUGAUCUUUCAAAACUUGUUUCAAUUACAUUAAGCAUCAAGUUGUUCAAUGCAUGCUAAUGUGCACCGGGUGUCUGGUAACACUUAGUUUUGGAUUGUAUAUCAAUAUGCUGCCACGAUUACAUGAGGUUUCCAUCAUUCAAUAGCUGACAUAUACUCAAUUUUAAAACUUUAAAGAUUCAUCAUGUUACAUUGUUACAUACUGAAGAAAGAUUCAUCAAUAUGCGAAACCCUUAUGUUUCUAAUGACAAGAAAAGUUGUAUAAAUAAGAACAUUACAUGAGGUACUUUAAAUAAACUGUUGAAAAGAAAAUUGGGACCUCUUAUUCUGAAUGAUUGUUCUGUAUAAUAGUGUGAGAUGAAAACGUCUUUAAACUAAAAUAUGGGUUACAUAUGAAAUAGUGAAAAAUAAAAACAAGAUGUUCUAGUGAAAUUUAGCUUCAGUCAUUAGUUAAAACUGCACUUUGGUCAUUCUCUUCACUCGACCUAGAUCACAUACUUUACCUGCAUCACAUGAAUUUCAGAGAAUAAGAAAGAUAGUAUGUACAAAUUAACAGUAAAUUAAUACAAGAUGCGAAUACAUACCUUCAGUCUAUUAAAUUGUUUCCAACAAUCUUCUGGAUGGUACACGCACUCUUUUUGGGUUGACAUCAUUUUGUGAGGGUGGAAAAUCCUUUAAGAUGCAAGCAUACAAUAUAUCAUAAGGAUGCAUAUAUCAUAAGCAUACAAUAAACAUGAUGAACCCUAAUUCAAAUUCAAUUCCCCUUAAACCUUAAUUUCAAACUAGCUCAACCUUGCUAGAUCAUGGAAAUCCAAGAUGAUCACUUUCCCAACGUUAAUAUAAGGGCACACACCAGUUCUAGAAUGUGCAGCCCUCACAAUAACCUUUGCUUCUACAGCCCUCAAAAAAACCCUAAUUCCAAACUAGCUAUUCGUAUUUCAUACGCCAGGAACCAAAAAACUAACCUUGUGUGGAAUAGGGCAAAGCUUUUAUUGCCGAUGCUUGAUUAAGAAGAGCCGAUCAAUUGAGAGGAGGUGAGGGCUGAGAGGAGAUCAACGUGAGAUGAGAAGAGCAAAAGAAAACGUCGAAGCAAACAAACUAAAAAAAAAUAGGGUUUAGAGAUAAAAACAGAAUUAAGUAAUUCCAAAACUAAAAAAAAAGAAGGAAUUAUAGUAAAUAAGAAAAACAUAAAUAUAAAAGAGUAAGAAAUUAAGUUUUGAUGACAUGGGUAUACCACAUCAGCCACCACGUCAGGUGGGCUCUAGGUGGUUCCCCAAAUGGUGGUUUCCUAAAUGGUGGUUCAUCUAGCAUUACUCGAGUAUCUAACAUUAAGAAAAUGUUUUUCGCUUCUUAGUCUCCAACAUUAGGAAAAUCAAUUUAGAAGGGUAGAACUGAUAUUGAUAUACAAGGAGAAUUCAUAAAAUUAUCAGAUUCACAUCCCCAAAUUCAUAGACUUAGCAAGAACUAAGAAAGAGCCUAAUAAAUUAAAAUUUUGAAAAUCGAUGCAACAAGCUAGAGAAUAAAAUACCAAUAUACAACAUACUUAGAAAAUCAAAUAAAAUUUAAUAAAAACUAUCUAUUAAAAAAACCUCAAAGAAGAAGUUGGAGACUUGGACUUAAUAUGGACCAAUGGAUCUUUCUAAAUGAAUAAAAAAUAGUGAUGGUGGCGCGUAGAAUAGGUUUUGACUUCUUUUAAUUACUUUUUACCUAGGCUGACGGUGUUUAACUCAUAUAAUAUAAAUUAGGGAAAAUGUCCAAAUGCACAAAACAGUUAAAUCAAUGUCCACUUGAAUGAAUUUAUUUUCACUAAGCCAUUCCAAUUAAUCUUAUUAAAAAGACUCUUUUACCCUCUCACUCUUAUUCAACGCACCUCUCUGUAUUCACUCUCUCUCUCCUUUAUUUCGUCAGCCUCACCCCCCAUCUCUCUCUCUCNNNNNNNNNNNNNNNNNNNNNNNNNNNNNNNNNNNNNNNNNNNNNNNNNNNNNNNNNNNNNNNNNNNNNNNNNNNNNNNNNNNNNNNNNNNNNNNNNNNNNNNNNNNNNNNNNNNNNNNNNNNNNNNNNNNNNNNNNNNNNNNNNNNNNNNNNNNNNNNNNNNNNNNNNNNNNNNNNNNNNNNNNNNNNNNNNNNNNNNNNNNNNNNNNNNNNNNNNNNNNNNNNNNNNNNNNNNNNNNNNNNNNNNNNNNNNNNNNNNNNNNNNNNNNNNNNNNNNNNNNNNNNNNNNNNNNNNNNNNNNNNNNNNNNNNNNCUUCGCCAUCGUCCUCCGAUCGGCGCGUCCAGGACGCCGAGCUCUAGCUCGGAUAUGGACGGAUCAUACGGGUUGAGGACAAUCGCAUCCUCUAGGAGGCGGCGCGACUGGUUAACCGGUCAGAGAUGAUGGCGUCGCAACCUUUAACCCGGCGGCACGGAGCGGCGCGACGGUUUCAAUAACGGAGGCGCCGUUGGUGACGAGGUCCUCGAUGAUGAGGCAGACCUGGCCGGGGGUGAAGGUGCCCUCGAUGGCCUUGGCGGUGCCGUAGUCCUUGACCUCCUUUUGGCGCAUGAGCAUGGGGAUGUCGUGGGAGGUACUGAUGCAGGUGGCGAUGGGGAGGGCGGUGUAGGGGACGCCGCAGAGGAGGUAGUAAGGGGUGGAGGAGGGGACAGCGGCGAUUAGGGUUUGGGAGAUUUGGCGAAGGAGGGAAGGGUAGGAGAUGAUGAGGCGAAGGUCAAUGUAGAUUGGGGAGGAGAUGCCGGAUUUCAGUUUGAAGUUGCUGAAUUUGACGGCAGAGGAUGAGGGACUCCAUCGACGGUGAAACAGGAGAAGAUGAAGAAGAAGAAGGUGGCGGCUUUUAGUGAGGUGCGCAAGGGGGUGGAGGAGGCCGGUGUGCUCGCCGUCGGGGAAGGUAGGUGCCCAGGCCGGUGUGCUCAAGUCAGUUAGAGGCUUUUUUUUUAAUUUUUUUUUUUAUAUCCUUACAUUUGAAUAUUGGGGUAGUAAGUGAUUAUUGAGGAUUGAUAUGUGAUUAUUGAGAUCAGUAAGUUAUUAUUUGAGGUUUAUAACCUGAUUAUUGAGGGUCAGUAAAUGAUUAUUGGGUGAUUACUAGGUGUUAGUAACUGAAUAUUAGAGGUCAGUAACUAGUUAUUGGGGCUCAGUAACCGAGUUACUAGGGUCAGUAACUGAUUAUUGAGGGUCAGUAACUGAUUAUUGGGAGUCAGUAACUGAUUAUUGGGGGUCAGUAACUAAUGAUUGGGGGUCAGUAACCAAGUUAUUGAGGGUCAGUUAUUGAGUUACUGGGGGUCAGUGACCGGAAUCCAGCGACCGGAGAAAAAUUGAGUUAUUGAGAGUCAGUAACCGAGUUACUGGUAACCAGAAUCCGGCGACCGGGGAAAUCCGGCAAUCAAAGUCCGACGACCAGUGACCGGAAUCCCGCGGCCAUUGAUCAGAGUCCAACGGCCGUUGAUCGGAAUCCCACGGCCGUUGACCGGAAUCCCGCGGCCGUUGACCGGAGUCCCACGGCUGUUGAUCGGAGUCCGAUGAGGUUCCGGCCAAUUAUUCUCUCUCUUCCACUUUCUCUCUCUAUGCAUGUUUAAAGAGUGAGAGUAAAAUAGUCUUAAAAUAAUAUGGUUUGUUAAGACUUUAACAAAGAUUUGUGCAUUUGGGCAUAAAAAUUUGUGCAUUUGGACAUAAAAAAAGUUAUCUUAUAUUGAAAUGGGCUAAUGAAAAAAAAUUACCAAUAAGAAAUGAGGAAUUUAAAUUAAUACUUAAUAAAUAUUUUCCCUAUAAAUUAUGCUAUUUGAAGAAAAAGGAAAAAGUGUCUGGGCUACAGCCGAAAAGACUAGUGUACUAUCCUCCGUCCCUGCCUUUUAAUUACUUUUUUAAUGCUUUUGCAGUCAAAAAAAAUCCCAUUCCCUUUUGCUCAAUUAACUAAUAGAAACUUGUAAUGUUCUUCAGCGGUGUGGAAGAAAAGACAAGGGAGUCAAAGAAAGAGAGGACCAAUGGUUUCUCCCAUUCCUAUCACUAUCAAGAAGAUAUGGCAAAAGCGGAAUAUCCGAGGCUUUGUACUCCUCAGCCUCUCAUUGCAAACAGCUCUAAUUCUUGGUGCACCCUUCCGAAAGCGAUCUCCUAGCUUAUUUGUAACCAGUGUUAUCUGGUCAUCUUACUUGCUUGCUGACUGGGCAGCUAACUUUGCGAUUGGCUUAAUUGCAAACAGUCAGAGUGACAAUCCUUUUAUUCGAAGCCCCAACAACAAUGGUGAUUAUAACAGCGAUCUUCUGGCAUUUUGGGCACCAUUUCUUCUGCUACACCUUGGUGGUCCAGACACCAUAACAGCAUUUGCUCUUGAGGAUAAUACAUUGUGGUUAAGGCACUUGCUUGGGCUUGUGUUCCACGUUAUAGUUGCAUUUUAUGUCUUCAUCCAAUCAUUUCCCAAAAACAAGCUGUGGCUGCCGACGGUUCUCCUAUUUGUAGCAGGAAUCAUCAAGUAUGCCGAGCGCACACGUGCGCUGUACAAUGCGCUUAAGAAACCUGACUUUGAACCAAACUAUGCAAAGCUGAAGGAGGAAUACUCUUCCAAAAAGGACUAUGCACAGCUGAUGGAGCAAUACUCUUCCAAAAAGGAUGCCAACCUUCCAAGUCAUAUAGAGUUGACAGCAGCGCGCAGCAUAGAAUCCAGGACUACUACUUAUGUGGUGGACAAUGGAGACAUGGAAAAUAAUAUUGCACUUGUUCGCCAUGCCUUUCACUUCUUUAACAUCUUCAAGGGUCUUAUUUUGGAUCUCAUUCUCAGCUUUCAUGACUGUUUGGAGAGCCGUGUGUUUUUCCAUGAAAGAACCGCAGAUGAAGCUUUCAAGUUAGUUGCAAUUGAGCUCAAUUUCAUGUAUGAAGCUCUAUUCACCAAGGUGGUUGUUGUGCAUUCUAAGUGGGGAUACGUAUGCCGAGCUAUAUCCUUCACUGCAGUUUGCACAGCUCUUGUUUGCUUCCAAAAAAUAGAGAAACAUGAUUUCCAUGGCUUUGAUGUUGGAAUUACCUAUACUUUACUUUUCGGUGCCUUGGCCUUGGAUUCAAUAGCAGUGUUCAUGCUUAUAUUCUCCGACUGGACUGUUGCUGCUGUGCGCAAGUCUUGCCAAGAUUCUCGCCUAGCCGAUAUGCUCAAAAGGUACAUAACUCUCAAGCAAUCUAGGUGGUUCGUUACAGAAAAUGCAAAUCCAUGUUUGGAGUGGUGUAGGCAACUUCUAUUUCGAAGGUGGUAUGAGUCUGUCUCUAUAUUUAACUUGAUACAUUAUUCCCUCAAGGAAUGUCCAAAACUGAGUCCUAAUAUUCUUGAUUACAUUUUCAAGGCCUACAUCAAUGUCAUAUACUUGCUUGGUCUUAAGGAUCUUCGAGAUAAGAUCAAAUAUAGGACCAGCAAGCCACUCGAAAAAGAGCUAUGGAAAUUCAUUUUUGCUCACUUGAAAAGUAAGUCCAUGCUCGCAGAUAAUCCUGAAACUGCCAGGAGAAUAAGUUCGGCCAGAGGUAACUGGAUUCUAGAGGAUAAUGAAUGGAAUAAUUUAAAGGAUUGCCGUAACUUGCUCGCUUAUGUUGUUGAUGUUGAAUAUGAUCAGAGCAUUCUACUGUGGCACAUUGCUACUGAGUUUUGUUAUAAUCUUGACAGUAAUGAUCCAAAAUACAAGGCUGUUCUCACUAAAAUUGAACACUGCAAGACCUUGUCUGAUUACAUGUUAUACCUCUUAGUUAUGCAGCCUACUUUGAUGUCUCCUGUAGCAGGAAUUGGACAAAUAAGAUUCCGAGAUACGUGUGCAGAAGCCAUAAAGUUCUUCAGCAGAAGGGAACUAGGACCAGAAGUGCAUCAAAAAGACGCAUGUGAUGAAAUUCUUGGGGUAAAUACAGAUGUUAAGCCGGUUGUUGUCAAAGGGGGUCGAAGUAAAUCCGUGUUGUUUGAUGCAUGUAUUCUAGCAAAACAACUGAAAAGUAUGGACACAAGGAAAUGGGAUCUGAUGUGUGAAGUGUGGGUGGAACUACUAGCAUAUGCAGCAUUUCAUUGCAGAGCAAAUGACCAUGUCCAAUUGCUGACCAAAGGGGGAGAGCUUGUCACUUUUGUCUGGUUAGCGAUGGCUCAUUUUGGCAUAGGGGAGCAGUUCCACCAAAAUGAGGCGCUUGCAAGAGCAAAACUCAUUGUGAGAAAGUAACCGUACUGUUACAUUAAUAAAUAGUGUAGAAAUUAGUCAUGGUAACGAAUAACGUAACUUUUUGUUUGUUUUUUGUAUGGAGAUAAUUGUACUGUUGAAUUUUUAAUUAAAGUGUGAAUGAAACAUAUUUAUGACCUAGAAAUUUACUCAUUCUGCUUUUGCCUGUGCAUAAAAUUUUGUAUGAACCAUUUCUCAGCUUAUCUGAAACAUUCAUUAGACAUUUACAUGGCUUAGCUUGCUCUUCUACCUUCUUUUUUUUUUUUUUUUUUCUUGAGAAGAGCUUUAACUGGUUGUUGUACUUUUGGGCCGGAUUCUGAGUGGCCCGAAUUGGUAUUUUUCCCCUAGUGUUCUUUUGAUUUGGGCCAAAACCCUAAACCCAAUUGAUCAAUGAAUCACAUAUACAAGAGGGGAUGUGGAGUCAUGGAGAACAAGAAACUCAAAAAUUGUGAGACACAAAAGUUGAAGGCGCUAAAAAAAGGUUGAAGGUGAUCAGAGAAACAAAUUCCCGAGUUUUACUAUUCUAUUUGGUGAGAAAACUCUAUAUCUCUCUUUCUGUGUUACUAGUUUUUUUACUAGCAAUGGUACCCGUGGCUUGCCACGGGUGUUUCUUGUGUGUUGUUAAUAAUUUACGAUUAUGACAUAUGUGAAUAAAAUGAUUUGAUUCUUAACCAAGAUGAUAAAAUAAGACAUAGUUUUCUUCCUCUAAAAUUAGUUGAGUUUACGUUACUGCAGUUCAUAAAACUAUACAAAACUGUUGUAUCAACCAAUUUAAGGAAUAAGGAGACAUAGAUACAAAACUAUUGUAUCAACACAUCAAGUAUUGCAGAGAACAUGUAGACCUAAAAUUUAUCGAUAGAAAUACCACCAGCACGUUUCUCAAGAGUCAAGUAAAUGAACUUCAAUAACACCUGAGGAUAAAAAAGAACCCAUAUUACCCUAAAACAUAUGCUCAACAGUGCAGCAAGGAUAGAGAAACAGAGCACAGAGCACUAUUGAAACGAAUUCAAGCUCCCAAACAAUCUGUCCUCCCUUCUUCCUCUAUAUUAUGUUUGCUCUCUCCUUUAAAAAUAAAAACUUGAAUAUCUUUUCUCCUCAUCUUCUAAAAUCUCUGGAACAUUCGAGUACAUGUAAUACGAAGAAAGAAAAAGCGAUAUGGUCGAUGAGAAAAAAGAUAGGGGCAAAAACGUCCUCACACUAUUCACGUAAAUAGUGCUUAACCAACAAAAAAUAAAGGUAAAAACGUCCUCACACUAUUCACUUGAAUUGUGCUUAUGAAUAGUUAACCAUAUAAAUAGUUAACCAACAAAUAGUGUAUAUAUAUAUAUAAAUUUGCUCUUGAAAUCGUAAGGAUAUAUAUAAUUGGUUUUGUCUAACGUGAAUUUCUUCUUUGAAUGUUCUGGUCAUAUAAAAAACUUAGAUGUUGUACGUUAGACUAUUAGAUGCUGGUUAUGACUUUGUGAGAAUUAUAUAUUCUUCUUAGGAAAAGAAAGAACAGGCAGAUUUUAGUUACAAAAGUUUGUUCGAUGAAUUUUAGGGUUACAAAAGUUGCAGGUAUUGGUUUAUAUAUGUUUAAUAUUAAUUUCUCCAAGAGUACUGUUUGGUAAUGUCGUUUAUCUAAAAUCUUCCACAGAAGUAAUGGCUGCACGAUUCGGUUGAUUCCCAUUCCCAUUCCUAUAUCCACCACGACCUUCAUUCAAAGUAUCAGUGUCUCUCAGAAAAUCCAUUCAGGACCAGACCAACGUCGCACUAGAUAUCACAAAGCAACUGCUUCUCAAUGAAUCUCUUAAAAAAAAAUUGCUUCUCAAUAAAAAAGGCAAGGACAAGAACGUUGUGUUCUCGCCGUUGUCCAUCCAUGCUCAGUUUCCUCAAGUCCAAGUCCAUAGAUGCGCUCAACACUCUAGCCUCCAAUGUCGUCCCACUAGUCUUUGCAGAUAGAUCCAAACUCGGCAGUCCUCUCUUGUCAUUCGCCAAUGGGGUUUGGGUAGACCGAUCUCUCUCUAUCAAGCCUUCAAAAAUGUAUGUAGUUUAUUCUUAUAGCAAAUCACAUAUACAUCAUUUAAAAAAUUUAAAACACAACAAAAAUAAAUCCACUUAUAUUGUUGUUAAAUAAAUAAAAACAAAUUCUUCUAUGUCUGUCAUGUGUCAUGAGGUAACUUUACUAAUGUUACCUCAUGACUUAAAAGCUGAAAUUUUGGGGACAAAACAAAACAUUCAAUCUUGCUGCUACGACACUGCUCGUCCAAUCUUCCUGCUACUACUAGUCGUCUAAUCGUCUUGCUACUGCUUGGUGGUCCAAUCUUUAUGCACAAUGAGGUAUACAACACUUUUUUUUUGGUGAGAUAUGAGGUAUACAACACUCAAUUUGCAGAAACUCGUCGUCCAAAUUUUGGAUCAGAAAGAAAGCAACAUUAUGAAAAUCAAAGUAGCACAACUCCCUUCACCUCAACUCCAUUUCCACACAUUAAUACAAACUAGAAAGAGACUGGAUUGUCUUCUUUCGACAAGAGCAAACGAGUUCGCUAACCUCAGCCCCUAGUACCUUUCAGUCUCCACAUUGUGCUCCCCAAGCACUGUCGUCGUCAUCAGAUCUGGACGCUAAAACCAAUUUUGAUGGCUCUGAUACCUAACUCCUCCUGCUUUGAUUUCGACGAAAACCAAGCCAGCAAAACCUGAACACUCAACAAUGAAGCUAAGCUCGCAGCAUCCCUUCUCGAGGACGAAACCAGAUGCUAAAACCGAUCAAGUGGAGCGAUCAGAACUUGAUGAUUUCAAGGGUGUAGAUAGCGGUGUCGAUCUAGCGGCGAGGUCGAUCUAGCACCGACGGAAUCGAUCUAGCAUCCAUGGAGUCGAUCGGCGAGGUCGAUCUAGCAACAACGGAGUCAAUCGGCAUCGUGUGGUGGUGGGGGGGGGAGAAAGAGAGAGAGAGAGAGAGAGAGAGAGAGAGAGAGAGAGAGAGAGAGAGAGNNNNNNNNNNNNNNNNNNNNAGAGAGAGAGAGAGUGUGUGUGUGUGUGUGUGUGUUAAGGGAGAGAGAAUGAUGACAAAGUGUCUAAUUAUGUUUGUAAAUUUGUAUAUUUUGGUUAUUUUACGAUGAAAAUUACAUCAACAUGUGGUGGUAUUAACUUUGGGCAUGCUCUUAUGUCCUUAUUUAUCUAAAGUGUCUAAUUAUGUUUGUAAAUUUGUAUAUUUUGGCCAGUUAACAAUGAAAAUUGCAUCAACAUGUGGUGCUAUUAAUUUUGGGCAUGCUUUUAUGUCUUUAUUUGUCUAAAUUUUUUAAAAUGUGAUUUUUAUGUGUUUUAUUACUGUUUAUGAUAGUGGGAUGUCAUUCUCUUGGUGGAGUUCACGGUCCGAGAGGAAGGACACACUUUAUGCUCUGGCCUUUGUGGAAUCAAAUCCUUUCACUUUUUGCACGACUGUUUGGACAAAAAUGACGAAACAACGCCGUACUGCACAUGGAAAAGUGGUAGGGCAUUGGCUUUUUGUAGCGGUGGCGUUGACGUGGGGGUGUGGCUAAGUUGACUUUAGGUUUUGGUCCCGGGAACUGUCGCAGGUAUUGUAAAAAAAAUUUAACCGAAGUGAUUCAAAGCACCAAAGCUUAUUUAAUAUGGACAGACCUGGUGGACUAAUCGAUUGCAGUUUUUAAUGAGAGGAUGACCGAGCCGCUUUGCACUAUCUAUCGUGAUUAGAUUCCGAGUCACUUGCACUGUCAUGAAUCAAUGACGCAUAUUACGUACAAAGUCACUUGAACUAGAAGUCAGAUUAGUUUAGUGGUAAAUUACUGGUUUAUUUGUUUGGUUUGAAAAUUUUCAAAUUUAAAUGGGGGUUGGUAACUGAUUAUGUGAUUGGUCAGUGGGAUUUACCAUACCAAGCUUAGACUUUGUGUUUGGUGUAUUAUUAUUUGGACUUUGAAGGUGUCACAGAAGGCAUGACUUGUUCAAGUAACAUAUGAUAUAGUGUGAUACAAAGUUCCAACUCGGUUACUGAAUAUAUAACAUGGUAUGGGCACAAGAUUGAACACAGAAUAAAGAGCGUUCAAACGAGUAAGCGUUCGUAAAUUAAAAAAUUGUAGAGCUACACAUUCAUUUGUCUAGAUUUAUUAUGCAUUAUUCUGUCCUUCUACAUUUAAAGAUUGAACAAAAUAAUUUAUAGGCAAAUGAUUUUUGUAGGUAUGAAUGGUAGACGAUUAGAUGUCCACAUCUUUCCAUAUAUACAACAUAAAUGCAUGAUGCAUAAUUUAUCUGGCAACCAGAUUUUGAAUAGGCAGAAGUUUCAAUAUAGAUAAAAUCUUAUGUGCGACAACCACACCAUGUGGCUCUGCGACUGGUCAUUCCGCAGCCGAAACGUACCAUUGUGCUUCCACGUGGACAUCUCCUUCCUCCUUCCGCCAUUGUCGACAUAGCUUCUGAUCAGAUAAAUCUUCCUAUCUCCGAUCAGACACCACCAGUUUCUCUCCCUCUUCUCCUUCAACCACCACCCCUUCACCCCACUCCUCCUCUACCCGACCCCAACCCAAUCUGCAAAAGUCUCUCAACCCCACCUUCCCUCCCCUCGACCAUUUCCCGACCCGGGCCUAGUUACGGUGAGCUUGAGGGUGUGGGAUACGGUGGGUUAGCAUAGAUUGGGUGGUGGAGCUUGAGGGUGGAUUGAGGUGGAGGACGAGUUUUUGAGGCCUAGGUUUUGUUUGAUCAGAGAAAUACUUCCGAUUUCUGUUUUCUUCUUUCUUUCGGUAAAUUCUGCUGUGCUGGAAGGCAUAGCAUGUCUACCGGAAAACAUAAGCAAAACCACCUCCUGCUGGACCUCCCCUUGCUGCACCUCCCUCUCCUUAGUGAAAGGCAUCCUAUACCCUCCGGUAUAGCCGCCAAACCCCUUUCUUUCAAGUUCUUUCAAGUUACGUUGAACUCAGAAAAAAAAAAUAACAAUAACAGGUGUUGGCCUCUCAUUAGGUGGUUGUAUAGAUGAUAGAUGAUGUGGUGCAUUUGCCCCACAAAAGAAUUUCUCUUCAAUACAUACAAGUCAAAUACGCGUGGGAGAGGCCUUUGGUCAUCAGGGCAGCACUGACUAUUCAAAUUUCAAAUCGAAGAAUGUUUUGGUUGGUUAAACUAAUGGUUAAUCCUUCUAAUGGGAAUUAUGAUUCAAUGAUAUACAAGUUUGAAUUUUCACACAAGCAUAGCAUAGACCACAAAAUUAAGCUAAUAUAGCUGAGCAUUUCAAAAGUGAUGCCGUUCACAAUAUCGGCUUUACCACAAGAACUACUAAUCCUUCAAUCAGUUAAAAGGGCUGGCAGCCAUCCCAUUGAAGAACAGCAGAGCCUAAAUUCUGCUCUCUUUUGAGCUCCUCAAUUGUGCAUCAUUCUUGCUCCGAUAUCACCCUUAGCAGAUUCAAUGACGAUAUCUAUGCAUAGUUGCAUACACAAAACAACCAAUUUAGCUCGCGAAAAUCUAUUGUUUUGCACUUGUAUGUUAUAUAUGUGUCGCUACAUUAACUUUCUUAUAGUGAUAGACUGGUUCUCAUUGAUAUUAGUUUAGCAAUCGGCUAGAAUACCAAUGAUUCUUGGAAGCUAGUCUAUCACUACCGAAAGCAGUAGUGUAUCUAUUCUUGUACUUAGGGAGCUACGAUUUAAUAAUCACAGAUUUUGUAUACAGAAGAUUAAAAGAUCAAUAAGAAGAACAGUACCGUAGUAGUACCGUUAGUGGAACUAGGUAGUUAGUAGUACCGUUAGGCGACAUAGAAACCUCUCAUGGGUGUCGAGGCUUGAGAUUUCUACUAGACCAGCUUCCUCUAAAGCCAAGAAUGGCUUCCUCUCGCUGCUGCUGCCUUCUCCUUGUUGUCCAUCACCACUACAUCCUCUAAAGCUAAGCUUUCUUCUGUUGGGGUACAAAGUUUUCAAUGGUACUGCAAAAUGGGAAGUUUUCAAGGGUAAUGAAGCUUAUCGGUUUUGAACCACCAUAGGUGGUCGAGUAGCCUAAGUGUGGAACCCCCAUACCCAUGUUCGAAUCUCAGCCGACACUAAUUGGAGUUAAAUCCCAAUUUAUUCUUGGUGGCCAGAGGAGAGGAAACGUUCUGACAAGAUCUCUCGGCGCGGAUUAGUCUCUGGACCUAGAAAGUUUUUCAAGAUACCAUCGUUAAUGCUCUACAAAAAAAAAAAAAAAGAAGCUUAUCGGUUUUGUUUCAAAGUUCUUGUUUGUGGUGGAAAUGAUAGGGUUGUGGAUAUUGGAUUGGAUCAUACUGCUCAAUGGGCUAUGUAUAUUGGGCUUAGGCUACAAGUUUAUUAUGAUAUAUAUCUUUACGCAUGAUCUCUUAACAACAA
rnacentral:lncRNA from 1 species